CUUUAGUUGUACUCCUUACACCCUAGCCGAUCUCCUUGAGAAGAAGCAUGCAAUGCUCUCAGAACAACUCAAAUUGUGAAUAUGGAUGAUUAUGCAUGUGGAAAUGAUGCUCAAAUUGCUCUUGGAAUUGAUCAUCGUAUCGAAGAGGCAACAUAAAGGUGCAUUCUUAUUGAUUAUGUUUGUGAUGAUGACCUAUACACAUAUGUAAUUUAGGGCAGCAAGAUAUAAUUUGUUGACUAUACAAUCAUGGUUUUCUCGCAAGGUAAAUAUGACUAGAGAUUGUAAUUUCUAUUGUUGAAACUAUUGUGUUUUUCAUUCUGAAGUGUAUCAAAGUAUAUGCAUUAUUAUUAUUAUUAUUAUUAUUAUUAUUAUUAUUAUUAUUAUUAUUAUUCAUUUGAAAUUUUAUAAAAAUUGGUAUAGGCAUAUUUUUGCAAUUUUUAUUUAGUUAGUCAAUGUAAUUUAGUAUCGCUACAAAAAAAAAUAGUAUAUUUGUAACGGAAUUCCGUUCCUAAAGUUCACGUAGCUAACGUAAUUCCAUUUCUAAUUCCGUCUCUAAUAUCAUUAGUAACGGAAAAAGUGAAUUUAGGAACGAAAAAACAUCGUUACAAAAUUGAAAAUUUCUUGUAGUGGUACGUGUGUUUUGUAUAUUUCUUCUAUUACAAAAUUACCAUGGAAUAUAGAUAUCUUAUAUAAGAACAUGCACCUCAAAUUUCAUUUCUAAUACUUUAGGCAAUUCUAAGAAGAUUAACAUCGAGAAUUUUAAUUUUAAUAUUUCUAAAAUUCAAAUAUAUAUGUCCAAGAUGGUUCUGGAAGAUUAUUUGUAUUUGUUCUUAAUUAUUUUCUAAUUUCUAUGUUGGCAUAAUAAGCAGUUACUUAUUUUUGCAAUAGGAGUAUGAAUUCCUUGUUGACCAUUCGACAUUGUAAAAUAUUGGAUGAUUUAAAGUUUUGUUACAGUAAAUUUUGAAUUUUAUUGAAUUAUAUUUACAAAUUGGAGGAAAAUAUUUAUUAGUUUGGUGUAAUAAUGAGUUAGUUGGCAGAUGAAUAUUAAAUAUAUAAUUUAGUAAAUUAUUAGGAUGGUUGGUAGGUAGGUAAUUAAUACGGCGUGUUAGGUAAAACAAAGGUAUAUAAAAUUAAUAGGUGUUGUCUAUAAAUAACAAGAAAAAUAAAAUUUAUAAAACAAGAAUGAAGUGAUGAGUGUAGGAAAAAUUGUACAGGGUCCGUCUCUUUAGACCAAUUUUUUCAAGGUUUACUAUUUGGACUUUAUGUUUUUUCAAAAAGAAAAAAAAAAAAUUAUCUUCUAAAAUAUCCUAUCAAAUAUUAUUUUAAUACCAAAUUCAAACCAAAA